rnacentral:rRNA from 1 species
UACGAAGGUGGCAAGCGUUACUCGGAAUUACUAGGCGUAAAGGGCAGGUAGGUGGUUUGGUUAGUCUGUUGUGAAAGCUCCUUGCUUAACGGGGAGAGGUCAACAGAUACUGCCAGACUUGAGUAUGGGAGAGGGUACUGGAAUUCCCGGUGUAGCGGUGAAAUGCGCAGAGAUCGGGAGGAACACCAAUGGCGAAAGCAGGUACCUGGACCAUUACUGGCACUCAGCUGCGAAAGCUAGGGAGCAACA